GCCGCGGCGAUAGCUCAGUGGGUAAAGCGCCAGGUGAGUAUUGAGAGCUAUUAUCCGCGCGGGUUCGAAUCUCGCCUGUGGCA